rnacentral:rRNA from 1 species
UGAGCGAGGGGAGCACGGCGGAGAGGUGUUGGGAGGGCAGAGUAACGGUCGGUAGAGACGGGCGCAGGGAGGAAUCACAGGAGGUCGAUCCCAACGUCGCCGACCCACCACUACUCGCCGUCCGGACGUGCGAGUUCACCCCGUUUGCGCGGCGGUAGCCGUCGCCGGUGGCCGAGGAGAGGAGAGAUGGAGGUUGCCAGAGCGGUACCAACGAACGAGGGAGAGAAAGAGAGAGGGGGCGGCGGUGCCGACGAAACGGCGGAAGGUGAAGAAGCGGUAGCUGAGCCGGCAGUCGCACGCGGAGGUAGGCGGGUGGAAUCAGCGGGGGAGGGGGUGGGGGGUGUAGAGCAGGCGGGGCGGUACCGGAAGCGGGAGCGAGAGGUAGCUGGAAGGGCUCGAGAGGGAGAGGCCCCAGCGUGGACGGUAGGUCCUAGACCUCCUCCUUCUCCUUUGUAGGCUCGUCCACCGAAGGGGUUGAGAGAAAGGUAGCCAAACGUGGAUGCACGCCGACUAGACGACGGUCCUAGAGGCCGGAACAACCGUCGCCGGAAUUGACAUCGUGGGUACCGAGUUGGAGCUGCUUGCUGGAUGACUGACCAGACUGGACUGCUCCAUGAGAGGAGAAGAUACUAAGGGAGGUGAGGUAGUAACCUAGUAGGAAGCCAGGGGAAGUAGAGUGGAGUACAGGACACACCAUCGGACGUUGAAGAAACUGGUCACGAUCCUAACUUUAUAUAGUCACCCAAUCUCGUGUUCGGUCACUACGGUAGCCCUACACCACCUCGAAGGGUAGUCCCCCUUCUCCAGCCGCUGGCCCUAGCAACGGUCACUCCUCCGUCCGACGAGCGAAGAAGUGCCGAUCCUAAACCCACUUUCCUCCGGUGUAGUCCCCUCUUCACCGGCCCCAGCCUUGUGGGUGUACACUUCCAACAAGAUUUAAGACUUCUUACAAAACUUGAAGAUAGUGACUAACGGUAUCGGAGGCUUCUGCUCCGUUUCUUACAAACCACUCUGACCUCAAUACCUGUACGAGAAGUCAGUUUGAGGUUGAAGGGUCUACCAUGAUUUUAAAAGACAGGUCUGACAACGAACGAAUUCUUAAGGUAGAGGUAGAAGGAAGCAGGGUGACUCCUUACAAAUCGUCACUGUGAACUAGGUUGCAAAAUUCAAACACGUGGACCUACAGAUUGCCAACGAACACACGAGACCAAAUGGAUCCUACUAAACGCAUCAUAUAACUUCGUCACAGGUUGAAUCUUCAUAAAUUUAUCCAACCAAACGCCUAAGGUAAUCCAUACCGUCAGGUUGUUGUGUAAUAUAAAAGGUCUCAAUCCAACUUAAGGUUACGUCAACGAGCUAAAAAGUAAACAACGUAAUAGCUAAGAACUUUUUUACUACUAUUUUAUUUUACUUAGGAGUUACAACCCAGACUACUAGUCAUGAACAACAGAUUUACGUGAUGUGCGCGUUACUUCGCUGCUUCAACAAUUAACAGGGAUAUAUAAGGAAUCAACCUAGAGAUUAUUUAAUUCAACAGUGAACAGUCAUCCAAGUCAUAUAGCAGCAGACGAAUCUGUUUUAUAUAGUACCAGUUUCGUAUGUUUAUAAUCAAGAAUCAUUUUUCUACCUCCAAAGUGUAUGUAGUUACGAAAGUGGAGUGAACAGACAAUACUUAAAAACAAACACACACUAACGAUAUAGUCUUAACCUAAUCGGGUAGGCUACGGGUGAUAAUACUUGAAAAAAAACACACACACUAACGAUAUAGUCUUAGCCUAACCGGGUAGACUACGGGUCCAUACGUGAAUUGAGGAUAGAGGAUUAAAAAACUAACAAUCUAUACCUAAUUAGAACUGACCCAACAUCAACACUUAAACAAGCUGGGUACGGCGACGGUAUGGAGAGGGAGCAACGGUCGGGAUGUAGAGGUGAGUUCAUGUUGAGCGGUGAGGGGAGUCGAGAGACCAUACCUAGCUUCCACGCCUAUUUGUUGACCUGUCACCAUUACAUGUUUAAACACUCGCAAGGCCCGUUUACGCCCUCUCUUACCUACACAUCACACCGAUACAAGGACGAACUGGUUCGACUACCUUCGUAUAACUUCUAUAUAGAUAGUAUAAAAAAUAGAGGUUCUAACCAAGAAACCUACCACUCCAAUAUAAUUAGCUCUAAUCGGUGAAGAUUUUCAAACGGGGUUACGUCAAUCGUCUGAUCGUUUAAGCUUAUUACUUUAAAACUUACGGUAUAUAUAACCACUAAACGUCUGACUUAUACACAUUAAACACACUGUAUAUAGUCCUAAAACUAAACAUCCGAGUUUAUUUAAACCAGGUAAAUAUAAUUUAGGGUGUAAUGCGUAUCGUCUUAUUAAUGAGCCAAACCGUACACGGUAAAAAAGAAAUAGAUAAAGCAGAUCUAGUUUAGUUGGUGUUACAGGAGUAAUUGAGUGAAAAUAAACAAACGUCCUCCAAACCAUCCAAACUCGUAGACUGAAUAUUAGAUCCAAGUACCACAAACCGUAAUAACCAAGCUAGGUGUACCUCCAGGAGCGGCAGUAACGUCGACGCCCUGUUCUGCCGUUCCUCAAACACGCGGACGGAAUGGAGACAUGUUUUAUUUGACGUCUAUGUUUUUUACUUUUUCGUCUCGUGAGAGAGAUCUUCGUCCUUACUAAUAUGAAGUUGGCUGGUACGAGUCGGAUCUUAUUGUGGUGUUGUAUGUCAUCAUCAAUUCGUUGUUUUGGAUUCGUGAAGGGCAGUAACAAACGAAAGAGUACAAAAACAAACGAAGUAACACAAGGAUAAAUGAACGUAUAUCUUCACUCGUUUCAGCUUCACAAAACCCACAAUGUUUUCUAACACUUAUAAAAAGGAAAUAUCGAGAAAAAAAUAACUGAAUCAAAAAUACAUUAAAGUUUCGUGAAGUCUACACAAUCCGACGUCGUUCUCCGACCUUGUCUAGAAACACGAUACUGCUCACAAACGAAGUCAGUUAGGUUUUAUGGAGAUUUUGAUGUCAAAGUAAACAAACAGGCCACAUGUACUCUUCGAGGUUAAAACAGCCGUUAUCGGUGACCUCUUUCAUCACUAACCCAAAUAUACCCUAUCAAUACAUACAGGUAACACACUACCCUUUAUGUUACGUCAUCAAUUAACAGUGUACCGAAGAGUUAUCACCGAAGAAUCAUUUUUUCAAUAUACUACAUACUAUCGGUACUCAUACUACUAAAAAACCUACCCGCCAUUCGAAGGGUAUAAACUACAAAAAAAAAUGAAAAAUUUUAACUUGCUACGAC